ACAGCAGGAGGGAAGCAGUAGGCAGAGGGGUGUGAGCAACACGAGCUGUUGCCAUGUGAGUUCAGUGGCAACGGAAAGAGGAGGGAGCUACUUGUCCUGCACCCUCUGGGGGCCAUUCCCGGGAAAGACAGAGAAAAAGGAAACCUGAUGCUCCAGGAUUGGCCAUGGUUGCAAGAUGAAGCUGAUGCCGCAAACAGCCGCGUGAGGAGAUGGC